CAAACACCUCCCACGCACCACCUAAAAAAUUCAGCAAACACCGAACCGAACCCUAGCACUUCUCCUCCUCAUCCGUUCCUCCUCCCUAUCUUCAGCCGAUCUCGUGGCGGUGAGUUCAAUAUGGCAGCACAUCAUGCGCGCCUCACGAAUACUUCUCUGAUUGAUCCAGCACUCCAAUAACAUGGCGGAGAAGGCUCCUCUGAACAUUAAGUAUUCUCCGUCCAGAAUCCAGACUGGAACAGCCUCGGUUCGCCACCCGACAUCAUCGGCGCAGUGUCAAUAACUCCUGCUUCCACUCUUCCUCUUCUUCGGCAUCUCUGUGUCUCCUCCCCUCUGGAACAGGUUCAAGAAAAGCUAUGAUGGCAGGAAAUCAAUUCAGUAGGGUGUCGUCGUGGGCGAUACUACCGACACAGUAAUGCCCACUACCACAGACACAUGCUACAGUUAUAUGGCUCGGGGUGGACAAGCCUGAAAAGUUCGUCGAAGAUUCAAGGCACAUGUCGUCUGUUUGCCUACGUACGAUCCUAUAUUUUUUUGUUGCUAACUGUGGAUACUGAUUUUUUUUGGAAGAAGAUGAAAAACAAUUGCUUUCAGAUAGCCUGGGUGUGAAACGUACAUUCUCUAGAUGUUUUUAUAAUAAUUUUGUAAUACUAA